GAUGAACGCUAGCGGCAGGCCUAACACAUGCAAGUCGAGGGGUAGAGGUUGCUUGCAACCUUGAGACCGGCGCACGGGUGCGUAACGCGUAUGCAAUCUGCCUUGUACUGAGGGAUAGCCCAGAGAAAUUUGGAUUAAUACCUCAUAGUAUCUUUUCCCGGCAUCGGGAGAUUAUUAAAGUUCCAACGGUACAAGAUGAGCAUGCGUCCCAUUAGCUAGUUGGUAUGGUAACGGCAUACCAAGGCAAUGAUGGGUAGGGGUCCUGAGAGGGAGAUCCCCCACACUGGUACUGAGAAACGGACCAGAAUCCUACGGGAGGCAGCAGUGAGGAAUAUUGGUCAAUGGGCGCAAGCCUGAACCAGCCAUGCCGCGUGCAGGAUGAAGCAUCUAUGGUGUGUAAACUGCUUUUAUACGGGAAGAAACACCGGUUCGUGAACCGGCUUGACGGUACCGUAAGAAUAAGGAUCGGCUAACUCCGUGCCAGCAGCCGCGGUAA
rnacentral:rRNA from 1 species